CCCAGUUUCCGCUCACCCGGUCACUCCUUCCUAUUGCGGCUAGUCUCUCUCUCUCUCUCUCUCUCUCUCUCUCUCUGCCAAUGCCAAGUUAGGUUUUAAUUUUGUGAAGGUCAGCUGUUGGAAGCAUUGGUCAUUCCUCUUUAUGCGUUAUGGGUAUGAGGGAACAAAUGUGUUGCUGCCCAAUUGCCUAUAGUUUUGAUGCAGUUGUAUUGGAUGAAUCAUUUAAUAGUAUCUACUUUUCAAAAGCUUAGGAGAAAAGAGUCCUCCAAGUCGACUGAUGUAGCAAUCAUGUAUGUCAAUUGUAUAUGAGGUUAAGUAUUUGAAGUCAUGAGUUUAGGAUUUAGGCUUCGUUUGGGACGAUUUUUUUACCGCUUCUUGAAACAGCUUUCUAGUACAAAAGUUAAAAUUUUUGUACUUAAAAGCUGCUUUAAGAAGCAACAAAAAAGCCGUCCCAAACGAAGCCUUAGUCAUAUAUUUUGAAUGAAUUGGAACAAAGCAUGUAAGAUUAUGUAUGAGAUCUUACUUCCUAUGAUCUCUAUGAAGUUUUUUAUAAUUGUGAACCCUCGUGCAUCUCAUUAAGAACCAUGACAACAUUUAAUAAGUGCUUUCAGAUGUUGUUGAAGCAA